GAUGAACGCUGGCGGCGUGCCUAAUACAUGCAAGUCGAGCGAACAGACGAGGAGCUUGCUCCUCUGACGUUAGCGGCGGACGGGUGAGUAACACGUAGAUAACCUACCUAUAAGACUGGGAUAACUUCGGGAAACCGGAGCUAAUACCGGAUAAUAUAUUGAACCGCAUGGUUCAAUAGUGAAAGACGGUUUUGCUGUCACUUAUAGAUGGAUCCGCGCCGCAUUAGCUAGUUGGUAAGGUAACGGCUUACCAAGGCAACGAUGCGUAGCCGACCUGAGAGGGUGAUCGGCCACACUGGAACUGAGACACGGUCCAGAGUCCUACGGGAGGCAGCAGUAGGGAAUCUUCCGCAAUGGGCGAAAGCCUGACGGAGCAACGCCGCGUGAGUGAUGAAGGUCUUCGGAUCGUAAAACUCUGUUAUUAGGGAAGAACAAAUGUGUAAGUAACUAUGCACGUCUUGACGGUACCUAAUCAGAAAGCCACGGCUAACUACGUG
rnacentral:rRNA from 1 species